UACGAAGGGGGCUAGCGUUGCUCGGAAUCACUGGGCGUAAAGCGCACGUAGGCGGUUCCUUAAGUCGGGGGUGAAAUCCUGGAGCUCAACUCCAGAACUGCCUUCGAUACUGAGGAUCUCGAGUCCGGGAGAGGUGAGUGGAACUGCGAGUGUAGAGGUGAAAUUCGUAGAUAUUCGGAGGAACACCAGUGGCGAAGGCGGCUCACUGGUCCGGUACUGACGCUGAGGUGCGAAAGCGUGGGGAGCGAACAGG
rnacentral:rRNA from 1 species